rnacentral:rRNA from 1 species
UACGGAGGAUGCAAGCGUUAUCCGGAUUCAUUGGGUUUAAAGGGUGCGUAGGCGGAAGAAUAAGUCAGUGGUGAAAGCCUGCGGCUUAACCGUAGAAUUGCCAUUGAUACUGUUUUUCUUGAGUAUAGUUGAAGUGGGCGGAAUGUGUAAUGUAGCGGUGAAAUGCUUAGAUAUUACACAGAACACCAAUUGCGAAGGCAGCUCACUAAGCUGUUACUGACGCUGAGUCACGAAAGCGUGGGGAGCAAACAGG